GAUGAACGCUGGCGGCGUGCCUAAUACAUGCAAGUCGAGCGAACAGAUAAGGAGCUUGCUCCUUUGAAGUUAGCGGCGGACGGGUGAGUAACACGUGGGUAACCUACCUAUAAGACUGGGAUAACUUCGGGAAACCGGAGCUAAUACCGGAUAACAUUUAGAACCGCAUGGUUCUAAAGUGAAAGAUGGUUUUGCUAUCACUUAUAGAUGGACCCGCGCCGUAUUAGCUAGUUGGUAAGGUAACGGCUUACCAAGGCGACGAUACGUAGCCGACCUGAGAGGGUGAUCGGCCACCCUGGAACUGAGACACGGUCCAGACUCCUACGGGAGGCAGCAGUAGGGAAGCUUCCGCAAUGGGCGAAAGCCGGACGGAGCAACGCCGCGUGAGUGAUGAAGGGUUUCGGCUCGUAAAACUCUGUUAUUAGGGAAGAACAAAUGUGUAAGUAACUGUGCACAUCUUGACGGUACCUAAUCAGAAAGCCACGGCUAACUACGUGCCAGCAGCCGCCGUAA
rnacentral:rRNA from 1 species